CUGCGAAAACCAGAAACAGCUCAAGACUGACCUGCGGUUUUAUAGUGCUUUUGGCAGUCAACUUCAGCUUUUGUCAGAGCAGACACGACAGAGCUGACCAAGGGCGAUAUACAGACGCCACCUACAUGGAAUUCGCGAUACCCUCAGAUGAAACGAGACAAACAUCAGAAGUGGAGGAUACAAAGAACUUACUCAGGUCGG
rfam:Lepisosteus oculatus linkage group LG11, whole genome shotgun sequence.